rnacentral:antisense_RNA from 1 species
CUUCAGGGAGCCGAGCAGCAGCGGCCGGUCCCCGUCCCGUUCCUGGCCGUAGGUGGCGAGCAGGGCCUGCGCCUC